UGGACAAGAGCUCGAGAUACCGAAGGCUGUCACGCUGACCCUCUGCCCUCACUAAAAGGCCACUGAGCUGUUAAACACUUAAGCUAUCUGUGGAUGGCAAAGCUAAAACAGCACUGCCUAUAAUACUCCUUUUGGUGUUUUGAGGAGUCAUAUGUACUCCCAUAGAUGCUGCCACGGGGCCUGCAUGAAGUUUUGCUCCUGUUGCCACCCAGAAUCACUCGCCCCAGCUCCUGCACCCACUCAGCUGUGUUCGCCCUCCUGCGAGGAGUAGAGUGUGGUGGGUCCGAGCUAGUGAAGCCGGCUGAAGCAACCGGCUAGCUCCAGUGCCUGCAUUUCAGUUUCUGCCUGCAAAGCAGUCAGGAAAAUUGUCCUGCUUCAAAACUAAACGUAUGGAUAUUAAACCCAGGCUGAGGUAACUCCAUGUGACUGGCUAAAAAAAACAAAAACAAAAAAAAUUUAUUUAAAGAUAAUUGCUUAAUCUAGAUCACAGGUAUAUCUGAGAUUUUCAUGGAUGAAAAUUCCUACUGAUUUGAUAUCCAUAGGCAAUUUUUUUUAAACACGUGACACAAUUCACCUAUGUGUGGUAACAUUAUGAGAAAACAGCUGAAAAUUCAGAUUAUGAAGACUUUAUUCUUAAAACAUGUGAAAUAAAUAAAUAAAUAAAUAAAUAAUUGGACUACAUGAGCUGAUACUCAUGUAGUUGGUGUUGGAACAUCAGUUGUGAAAUAUCAGUUGUGAACAAUAAUCUUGUGUAGCGUUUGGGGAAAGCUCCACUGGAAAAAUCUCAACACAUUUCUUUAGGUUUACAAAGAAAGGCCAUGGCAUCUACAGAGAAUAAUUAUACGCCAUUUGAAAACCAAUUCCUGAAUUUCUAUUAGGCUCUGAUAAAGAUGGAAUUCCUUAGUAUUAGACACUAGUUGCCCGUGUAUCCAGAACUGCUCAUUAUGACCUCAGCACUUUCAGAACUUCAAAGACUUAGUGCUCAGGGGAUAUAAAAAUAAUGCAUUGUAUGCCGGAAGGGAUAAAUCUGGGGCUGAGUACAAGCAAAACAAGACCAAAGGAAGCUACCUGAGCAGGUAUUCCAGAUACUCAUGUCAUACACCAAGGUUGUACCAGUGCCCCUUUCUCUGUGACACAUCCAUCCACUGGAAACUUUCGUACAACUAGCUGAAAGAAGAGAAACAUCCUAUUUCAUGUCACUGGAGCCCUAAUGAUCGCAGCCAUUUCAGGAAAUGCCAUCAAUUACAGUGAGGAGCUCAUUCAGAAGUGAAAGAUGAGUUCCAUUCUCUGUUACUUAGAGCUUUAGCCAGUACCUGGCAGUUCUAGACUACCCUUCUUGAA
rnacentral:lncRNA from 1 species